AUUAACAGUGAGCACGUACAGCUCCAGUCACCUCAUCCUCAAUCAAAUAGCUCAGCUCUGUAAUCAUCACUAAGAUUUUUAGGAAGGUGGGGAAAGUGGGAUAAUACCAAGAUGCAUUACGUGCAAAACCACAUAGAGAACAAGAGACAUAAAGGAAGACAGCAAAUUCUUUUUGCGUGGAUGAAAUCAUGAGUUUCUCCCUGGGAUCUUCCACAUCUCCUUUGAUCAGUCUUCCCAGACCUAACCCUGAAAUGUGCCAACAGGUCUGGUCCAAGUUAGUAAGAGUAAGUAACAGAGUGAAGUGUGGUCCUUUUAG
ensembl:lncRNA